rnacentral:ncRNA from 2 species
ACUUGAUCCGAGGGGCGGCCCCUGUAUUUUGGCCUGAGAUGUACCCUUUGAACCUGAUCCAGGUGAUGCUGGCGGAGGGACGGACUUUGGAUUUACC